CUCAAAUCAUAUCUAAACUUAUUAAAAUGAUAAGAAAAUCUGAAACUAAAGUGGAGUGAAAGAAUUUAAAAAUUUAAAAAUCAUGAGGGACUAAAUUUUGAUUUAUCCAAAAACGAAUAACAAAUUUUAGUGGUGAGUGAAGAGAAUACUUACAGCUUUUUUAAGCUCAUAAGAGUGAAUCAGCGUAGUAACGAAAGCAAAACUGGUGAGAGAGUAAAGUACGGAGAAGCAGAAACGCCAUUGCUGUGGAUAUAACGGGAUUUCCUUCAUCGCCGUUAAUUUGAGCUUCAACAAUAGAUAAAACUCGCUUGGAUGCUCCACAAUUUCCCAAGCUAGGGUAGCUACUCGUAUCCAUUUGUUAAUCACGGCGAAGAUCACCGUUGGCGAUGAUGAUGAUGUAAGCUUCUGAUCUGCAAUUUCAAUUGCAGCCAUGUUUCUUGAGCUUUUUCAGAAAUGUAGAAAAAAAAAAAGAAAAGAAACAUUGAGAUUUACUCUGGAAGGAUCUCGUGGGCCUGAUUGUUCGGUGGAGUUUUUUUCCUAUAAUCUGUUGUAUGGAUAUGAAUCAUAUGAUAAUUUUCUUGGGAAUUGUCGAACAAUCUGAUAUAAGAUCAGCCAUGUCGACUGUUUGAUUGAAGGUUUUUUUUUUUUAAAUAUAAUGGAGGAAUUAAAGUGUAUUUUAUUUUUAUUAAAAACAAAUUAAUUAAUUUUGAAGUUAGAUUAAAGAGUA